AAGAAUGUAGCAUAAAUAAAUGCAAUUCAUUUACACUGAAUGUAUACUUUAAUUAAAAGUCAUUUUUA
rnacentral:tRNA from 1 species